CAAAGCACGGACAAUUUAAUGGUCCGAUAAAAGUUUUGAGGUUGUUAUAGCGGAUGUCAGCGAUCUAAGGAAACCUCUAUUCCCUUGUGUACAGCAUGCAGCCAACGAGGAGCUGUGGCAAAUGAUACCUUUCACCUGAGAGGGAGGAAGAGAGACGCUGCAGCGAGAGUGAUGUCACUGGCAGAGCUCUCUCAAGCCAUUUCAGAAACAGCUGGAGCUGGAGACGCAACACAUGAAAUGAAACACAAAGGGUGUGACAUGCCAGCAUCAAUCUAUAUUUAUGGCAGGCUGUGGCCCGUGCCAGGGUCUCCACUCUUCCUGCAUCACUACCGUUUAAACUAACAUGGACGUCCUGCUGCCCAACACGAGUCAGGCAGAGUGAUCCCUUGUGCCUGCUUUUAUUACCUUGUUGACACCAGCUGCUAGUUUUAAGCACUUUUAAAUGCUGAGGCUCAAAUCACAGAAUUAAUGCCGUUAUUCCUGCCCAGCUUUCUUUUUGGCAGUGCUUUUAAGCCCCAGACUUAACAACAAGCCUGGGUUUUAUGCAUUCAGACAGCUGGUGGGAAUAAGGCAGUUGCCAGUGGUAUAAAACACUGCGUGUGUAAUUGUGUGUGCGUUUAUAAAUGUGGUAGGCGUGUGCCUUCGUGUGUGGGAGAGCAUCUGAAUAUUAAAAAACUGUCUUUUAAAAGUUGCUUGUCCGUGGUCCAAAUAUUAAAAUUGCACAUUUGUCAUAUUGGUCAGUCUUUGUAAACAAGAAUUUAUCUGUCAUGCUCAAUAUUUGGCAUUAAUAAAAGGUGAUUAAAAUGCGGUGGAAAUGUGACAUACUGGAAACCAAAUGUUGCAGAUUCCUCCUUCCUCUUCACCAGUUUGACACUCUACUU